UACGAAGGGGGGCUAGCGUUGCUCGGAAUCACUGGGCGUAAAGCGCGCGUAGGCGGAUCGUUAAGUCGGGGGUGAAAUCCUGGAGCUCAACUCCAGAACUGCCUUUGAUACUGGCGAUCUUGAGUCCGGGAGAGGUGAGUGGAAUUCCUGGUGUAGCGGUGAAAUGCGCAGAUAUCAGGAGGAACACCAAUGGCGAAGGCAGCUCUCUGGGACGGUACUGACGCUGAGACGCGAAAGCUAGGGUAGCAAACGGG
rnacentral:rRNA from 1 species